GAGAACAUGCUGGCCUAGCUUGCUAUUCUCAGGAGGAGCUUUCUUAACUAAGUUGAAGAGUGGAGCUUUCCUAACAAAGUUGCCUUAGCUUAGAGCAGAGGCUCUACCACUUUCCUGUCCCAGCCAAUCCACAGACACAUGAGUAUGCCCAACAAGGAUGACCAGAGCCACCCAGAUGAGCCCAGCCUACAUUAGCCAAUUUGCAACAAACCCCUAGAAACAUGGGUUAUAAUAAUGUUGCAUUAAUUGGUUCACCAUAGGCUGCCUAUCUAGUAAUAGUCAUGAGCGAGUUUUAAGUGAGUCCACUAGAAAUAAUGCCUUCUCUGAUAUAGAGAGCUCAUCUCUAGGCCCAGGCCAGCCUCCACCUUUUCUUCCCACCCUGCUUCUGCCUACACCAUAAGGGGCCACACUCACACCCCUGCCCACAUGUUCAUGCUCCACCAUACUCUCCACAAACAGUUUCCCCCUGGGUGGCCACCCUUUAGGACUUGGGGUGUGUAGAUUGGCAGUAUGGUCUGCCUUCAGGUCCACAGACUUAAGAGACCUGAAGGAUCCCAUUUGGACAGGGAAUUCCAGUUUCCCCAGUACGCAAAGCAUCAUCUCCCAGAGGGGGCAUGGGCUCUAGGUUGGCAUGUCACGUUGGAUCCUGGAUUCCUAUCCCAUGGAGAGGGGCCAGAGGAGAAUCAGAAAGGGCCAGGUACCAUAUGAGGCCAAGCAAUGAGUUUGAGCAGAUAUUUCUCUAAAGCAGAUACACCAAUAGUUAAUAAGUACAUAAAAAGAUGCUCAGCAUCAUUUAGCCAUCGGCGAAAUGCAAGUCAAAACCACAGUGAGACACCACCUUACACCCACUGGUAUGUCUAUAAUCAAAAAGAUAAUUAAUAACAAGUGUUGAUAAAGAUGUGGAGAUAUUUGGAACCCUAAUACAUUGCUGCUGGAAAUACGAAAUGGUGCAGUUGCUUUGGAAAACAGUUCGGCAGUUCCUCAAAUUGCUAAACAUGAGGUUACCAUGUGACCCAACCAUCCACUCCUAGGUAUGUACCCAAGAGAAAUGAAAACAUAUGUCCACCCAAAAAAAACUCAUAUACAAAUGUUCCUAGAACUACUAUUCAUGAUAGCCAAAAAGUAGAAACCAUCCAAAUGAAUGGUUAAAUAAAAUGUGGUAUAUCCAUACAAUGCCUUGUACAUCGAUAUUCUUUAUGAACAUUGGUGAUAUGUAUGGUUGAUAAUAUGUAUCGAAUAUUAUUUUCCAAUAAAAAGGAAUGAAGUACUGAUGGAAGUACAGCAUGGAUGGACCUUGAAAACAUUAAGUGAAAAAAGCCAGAUAGAAAAGGCCACAUAUUAUUUGAUCCCAGUUAUUUGAAAUGUCCAGAAUAUGAAAAUCUACGGAGACAGAAAGUAGAUUAAUGAUUGUCUAGGGUUUGGGGGAAAUGGGGAGUGACUGUUAAUGAAUACAAGGUUUCUUUUUGGGUAAGAGGUCAAUUCUAAUAUUGAUUGUGGUGAUGGUUGCUCAACUCUGUGAAUAUACUAAAAGCCACCGAAUCAUACACUUUAAAUGAUAAAUUUUAUGAUGUGUUAAUUGUAUCUCAAUAAAACUGUUUUGAAAAUAUGAGAUUUAUGACAGGAGUUUCCUGGCCAGAGUGUGGGCUUAGCAGGUCUCCUAACACUCAUAUGGCUUGACCGGGAGAAAUUAAGUGUCGUAUCCCCAAGGAAGAGUCAAGAUU
rnacentral:lncRNA from 10 species